rnacentral:rRNA from 1 species
GAUGAACGCUAGCGGCAGGCUUAAUACAUGCAAGUCGAGGGGCAUCAAGGUACACGAAAGUGUAUUGUUGGCGACCGGCGGACGGGUGAGUAAUAGGUAGGUAACCUACCUCAUACUGAGGCAUAGCUGGGAGAAAUUCCAGGUAAUUCCUCAUGAGGUUAUAUGACACAUGUGAUAUAAUCAAAGGUAUCGCAAGGUACUGGUAUGAGAUGGGCUUACUGACCAUUAGCUAGUUGGUGAGAUAAGAGCUCACCAAGGCGAAGAUGGUUAGGGGUUUUGAGAGAGAGAUCCCCCACAUUGGAACUGAGAUACGGUCCAGACUCCUACGGGAGCAGCAGUAGGGAAUAUUGGGCAAUGGGCGGAAGCCUGACCCAGCCAUGCCGCGUGAAGGAAGACGGCCUUAUGGGUUGUAAACUUCUUUACUAUGCGACUAACUAGAUUUACGAGAUAAUUCUAUAGAAUGUAGCAUAGCAAAAAGCACCGG